AUUGAACGCUGGCGGCAUGCUUUAUACAUGCAAGUCGAACGGCAGCGCGGGCUUCGGCCUGGCGGCGAGUGGCGAACGGGUGAGUAAUACAUCGGAACGUGCCCAGUAGUGGGGGAUAGCUCGGCGAAAGCCGGAUUAAUACCGCAUACGACCUGAGGGUGAAAGCGGGGGAUCUUCGGACCUCGCGCUAUUGGAGCGGCCGAUGGCAGAUUAGCUAGUUGGUGGGGUAAAGGCCUACCAAGGCGACGAUCUGUAGCUGGUCUGAGAGGACGACCAGCCACACUGGGACUGAGACACGGCCCAGACUCCUACGGGAGGCAGCAGUGGGGAAUUUUGGGCAAUGGGCGGAAGCCUGAUCCAGCAAUGCCGCGUGUGUGAUGAAGGCCUUCGGGUUGUAAAGCACUUUUGGCGGGAACGAAAAGGACUGUGCCAAUACCACGGUUCGAUGACGGUACCCGCAGAAUAAGCACCGGCUAACUACGUG
rnacentral:rRNA from 1 species